rnacentral:rRNA from 1 species
GUAGUCAUAUGCUUGUGUCAAAGAUUAAGCCAUGCAUGUCUAAGUAUAAGCAAUCAUACUGUGAAACUGCGAAUGGCUCAUUAAAUCAGUUAUCGUUUAUUUGAUAGUACCUUUACCUGGAUAACCGUGGUAAUUCUAGAGCUAAUACAUGCUAAAAACCCCGACUUCGGAAGGGGUGUAUUUAUUAGAUAAAAAAACCAUGCCUCUGGGCGCCUUGGUGAUUCAUAAUAACUUAACGAAUCGCAUGGCCUUGCGCCGGCGAUGGUUCAUUCAAAUUUCUGCCCUAUCAAUUUUCGAUGGUAGAGUAGUGGUCUACCAUGAUCUUAACGGGUAACGGGGAAUUAGGGUUCUAUUCCGGAGAAGGAGCCUGAGAAACGGCUACUACAUCCAAGGAAGGCAGCAGGCGCGCAAAUUACCCAAUGCUAAUUCAGCGAGGUAGUGACAAUAAAUACUGAUACGGGGCUCUUUCGGGUCUCGUAAUUGGAAUGAGUACAAUCUAAAUCCCUUAACGAGGAACAAUUGGAGGGCAAGUCUGGUGCCAGCAGCC